GGGGAUGUAGCUCAUUUGGUAGAGCGUCCGCUUCGCAUUCGAUCUGAAACGUGACUGCGGAAGGUACAGUGUUCGACUCGCUGCUUCUCCA